rnacentral:rRNA from 1 species
UACGUAGGGUGCUAGCGUUGUCCGGAUUUAUUGGGCGUAAAGGGCUCGUAGGCGGCGUGUCGCGUCGGGAGUGAAAGCCCGCUGCUUAACGGCGGGUUGGCUUCCGGUACGGGCAGUCGCUGGAGUGCGGCAGGGGAGACUGGAAUUCCUGGUGUAGCGGUGGAAUGCGUAGAUAUCGGGAGGAACACCGGUGGCGAAGGCGGCCAGCUG